UGGAGUGACUCAGGCAGUGUGGGAAGCAGCCCCAUCACAGACCUGGCCCUCCUUGAUCAGCUGGCCAAAGGCUGGAGGGGAAGCCUUGCGGGUACAGGAGUGUGUCCUGGGGGAAGGACGCAGACUUGACCUGGGGACACAGAAUGACCUGGUUUGAGGAGAAGCUGCUGGAAAAGCCCCACUUGUGUCCCUGAACAGGUGCUGGGUGGCUCCAAGUUGUACUGGAGCAGCUCCAGGUGAAGUGUGUCAUCAGGAUGGACUUGAAGUACACCAGGAACACCGGAGGGGAGUGGGGCAUGCAGAGCAAUGCCAGGAAAUGGGCCCAUGGAAGACCCUGAUCCUUCUGAGCUGGGGGCACGGGCCUGGGAUCCAGCCUCAAAUCUGCAGCCACUACGUCCUGUGACCUCGGCAGGAUUCUACCUACCUUGGCCUCAGUUUCCCUCCCUGCACAAUAUGGGAGUGAGCAAGCCAGUCUGUCAAGCCUGCUCAACCUACAGGCUGUGACAAAGCACUGGGAACAAGAGGCAGCAUGGAGGUCAGCCCCGGGCUGGGGUCAGCUGAUCCUGAGGGCCUGGCUGCUUCUGAGGGUGGCAGAGGGCAGGGCCCAACAGCUCCACAGGGUGGGCAGGAGGACGGGUGUGCACUCCCUGUGCCCCUUGCAGGGUGGCCUUGAUGAAGUCCUUGGUGUCACUGCUGGUGGGCACUCAUGACGUGCUCCAGGACAUCCACCUGUGCAUGGCCACAUGGUCAGCAAACAAUGGAGAGCAGGCCAAGCUGGAGGACAGAGGGAGGCCCGGAGCCUGCAAGGUCAUCUGGGCCCUGGGCCUUGGAGGCAGGGGCUGUGGGUCUCUUGGGCAGAGUGACUGGGACCAGGGCCUCCAGUCCUAACCUGGCUUGGGCUCUUAAGCCUCAUGCUCCUCCAACCCACAAGAACCCCAGCAAGUGUCAUAGAGCUGCCCAGAGGGAUACAAGCCCAGCCUGCAGCAGGAAUCUGAGUUCACCCUGGGGUGGGGAUCAGGGCUUAGUGUACACCAGCAGAGUCUCUAGGGCAACAAAUCCCCUGGACAGGCCACCUAGAGCCUUUGUGGGACAGCAUGGCUCAGUGCUCUGCCCUGUGGCCUGGCAGGGCCUCUUCUGCUGACAGUGGAUGUAUGAAAAAACCUGGGCAGCAGUUUCCUAUUAAAGUUGGCCUUGUUGCCCAUUUCCAAGACAGUUA